AAAAGAGAGAAGAGAUGGAGCUCAAGUUUAUUCUUUUUCAACUCCAAAUCUGUGGGAGGUAAUAGCUUGAGGUGGCCAUGCAGGAAGCAGUUGGCUGGAAGUGUGCAUAACUAGUGCAUUAUUUUGUACAUCCUAACUAGAGAUGAAUGCUUUUGUUAAUACUUAAGUUAUGAAUCAUUUUCUAAUGAGUGCAAGCAAAUCAUGAGAUGUGAGCUGUGCAACUAGUUCAAGCAUCUAUGCGCUAUACAUAUAUCUUGAUGGCCAAACCGUAUGUAUGCCAUGUAACUUAUUUGUGCAAGUUGUGGAAAAUAACACAAGACAAAUGUUUAUGGAUAUAAUAUAAUUGUGAGCUAUGAUGAACUUCAUUGUCA